rnacentral:rRNA from 1 species
UACGGAGGGUGCAAGCGUUAUCCGGAUUCACUGGGUUUAAAGGGUGCGUAGGUGGGUUGGUAAGUCAGUGGUGAAAUCUCCGAGCUUAACUUGGAAACUGCCAUUGAUACUAUCAGUCUUGAAUAUUGUGGAGGUUAGCGGAAUAUGUCAUGUAGCGGUGAAAUGCUUAGAUAUGACCUAGAACACCAAUUGCGAAGGCAGCUGGCUACACAUAUAUUGACACUGAGGCACGAAAGCGUGGGGAUCAAACAGG